AACCUUUCUAGCACUUAUAAAUGGGCGCUCAUCUUGAUAAAUGUUCUGUUGAUAGACUUCAUCUGCAAGCAGAACUAAGUUCUCAUGGAAGCAGAAUUUGAGAAGUUCCUUUAUGUUUCCUUCACUAAGGCAUUGGCCAGUAGGGUUUCCUGGGUUGAUAAUCACCAUUGCUCGAACAGUGAUUCCCUUUGACCGCGCUGACGCCACAGUCUGUCGGAGAUUGACGAAGUCAAGUCCCCAGUUAGCCUCUUCUUCUAAGUAGUAUGGCACGAGAGAACCACCAAAGAGGGAAAUGGCAGCAGAAUAAAGCGGGUAUUGUGGAACAGGAACCAGAAUCCCAUCUCUCUCAUUUCUGAUAAUGGUAUUCAGCAUUUGCAUCACACCUUUGCUGGCACCAUCUGUGAGGUAAAUAAGUUCUGGAUCACUUGGAUAACCAUCACGCCUCUCGAUGAACUCGGCGACUUCCUUCCUAAUACCAGGGAUACCUCGGGAAUCACUGUAAGCACCUAGUCCACCGGGUGCCAUGGCGAGGUAGUGCUUGGCCCGCGCGAUGGCGUCGGCGGGGAAGAUAAGGCCGACGUUGGGAUCAUCGAGCAGGAAGGGGGCCUGGCACAGCGCCACAACCUGGCGGGGGAAGGUGAGCGGCUUCUGGCCGAGCGCGUGUGGGUUGCCGACGUUGGUGAAGAUGAUCUUCUUGCCCUCCUUCUGGAGCUCGGAGGCGCGCAGGUACAGCUCCCCCCGCACCGCGUACUGCACCUUCUUCACGUUCUCGUUCAGCUCCUCGUAGUCCAGCGGCUUCCUCCCGCCGCCGCCGCCGCCGCCGCCG
rnacentral:misc_RNA from 1 species